CGUAGGUGGCAAGCGUUGUCCGGAAUUAUUGGGCGUAAAGCGCGCGCAGGCGGUCUUUUAAGUCUGAUGUGAAAGCCCCCGGCUCAACCGGGGAGGGUCAUUGGAAACUGGAGGACUUGAGUGCAGAAGAGAAGAGCGGAAUUCCACGUGUAGCGGUGAAAUGCGUAGAGAUGUGGAGGAACACCAGUGGCGAAGGCGGCUCUUUGGUCUGUAACUGACGCUGAGGCGCGAAAGCGUGGGGAGCAAACAGGAUUAGAUACCCUGGUAGUCCACGCCGUAAACGUUGAGUGCUAAGUGUUAGAGGGUUUCCGCCCUUUAGUGCUGCAGCAAACGCAUUAAGCACUCCGCCUGGGGAGUACGGCCGCAAGGCUG
rnacentral:rRNA from 1 species